rnacentral:rRNA from 1 species
AGUGAACGCUGGCGGUAUGCCUAACACAUGCAAGUCGAACGGCAGCACAGUAAGAGCUUGCUCUUACGGGUGGCGAGUGGCGGACGGGUGAGGAAUACAUCGGAACCUACUUUUUCGUGGGGGGUAACGUAGGGAAACUUACGCUAAUACCGCAUACGACCUACGGGUGAAAGCAGGGGAUCUUCGGACCUUGCGCGAUUGAAUGAGCCGAUGUCGGAUUUGCUAGUUGGCGGGGGAAAGGCCCACCAAGGCGACGAUCCGUAGCUGGUCUGAGAGGAUGAUCAGGCACACUGGAACUGGGACACGGUCCAGACUCCUACGGGAAGCAGCAGUGGGGAAUAUUGGACAAUGGGCGGAAGCCUGAUCCAGCCAUACCGCGUGGGUGAAGAAGGCCUUCGGGUUUGUAAGCCCUUUUGUUGGGAAAGAAAAGCAGCAGGGUAAAACCCCGCUGUUCUGACGGUACCCAAAGAAUAAGCACCGGCUAACUUCGUG